ensembl:misc_RNA Metazoa_SRP Metazoan signal recognition particle RNA
GCCAGGUGUGGUGGUGGGCACCUGUAAUCCCAGCUACUUGGGAAGCUGAGGUAGGAGGAUCACUUGAGCCCAGGAGGCAGGGGUUGCAGUGAGCUGAGAUUGUGCCACUGCACUCCAGCCUGGGCAACAGAGUGAAAAUCCAUCUCAA